rnacentral:rRNA from 1 species
AUUGAACGCUGGCGGCAUGCUUUACACAUGCAAGUCGAACGGUAACAGGGAGCUUGCUCCGCUGACGAGUGGCGAACGGGUGAGUAGUGCGUCGGAACGUGCCGAGUAGUGGGGGAUAACGCAUCGAAAGGUGUGCUAAUACCGCAUACGUACUGAGGUAGAAAGUGGGGGACCUUCGGGCCUCACGCUAUUCGAGCGGCCGACGUCUGAUUAGCUAGUUGGUGAGGUAAAGGCUCACCAAGGCGACGAUCAGUAGCGGGUCUGAGAGGAUGAUCCGCCACAAGGGGACGGAGGCACGGCCCAGACUCCUACGGGAGGCAGCAGGGGGGAAUUUUGGACAAUUGGCGCAAGCGUGAUCCAGCCAUGCCGGGUGUCUGAAGAAGGCCUUCGGGUUGUAAAGGACUUUUGUCCGGGAGCAAAUGCCUGGUGUUAAUAGCACUGGGAGCUGAGAGUACCGGAAGAAUAAGCACCGGCUAACUACGUGCCAGCAGCCGCCGUAAGAC